UUAACUCAAAUUUGUAUGGAGUUGGAACGUUUGCCUACGUUGGCCGCUAGGGGCGCUUAUUCAACUGCAUAUAACGUUUACGCAA
rnacentral:pre_miRNA from 1 species